rnacentral:rRNA from 1 species
UAAGGAAUAUUGGUCAAUGGACGCAAGUCUGAACCAGCCAUGCCGCGUGAAGGAUGAAGGUCCUCUGGAUUGUAAACUUCUUUUAUCUGGGACGAAAACGGGAUUUUUAUCUCAAUUGACGGUACCAGAGGAAUAAGCACCGGCUAACUCCGUGCCAGCAGCCGCGGUAAUACGGAGGGUGCGAGCGUUAUCCGGAUUUACUGGGUUUAAAGGGUGCGUAGGUGGGCUUAUAAGUCAGUGGUGAAAUCUUCCGGCUUAACCGGGAAACUGCCGUUGAUACUAUUUGUCUUGAAUAUUGCGGAGGUAAGCGGAAUAUGUCAUGUAGCGGUGAAAUGCUUAGAUAUGACAUAGAACACCAAUUGCGAAGGCAGCUUACUACACAAUCAUUGACACUGAGGCACGAAAGCGUGGGUAGCGAACA